UGCGGGGGGGGCAAGCGUUGUUCGGAAUUAUUGGGCGUAAAGGGCGCGUAGGCGGCCAUUCAAGUGACGGGUGAAAGCCCUCGGCUUAACCGAGGAACUGCCUGUCAGACUGGAUGGCUUGAGACCGGGAGAGGUGAGUGGAAUUCCCAGUGUAGCGGUGAAAUGCGUAGAUAUUGGGAGGAACACCAGUGGCGAAGGCGGCUCACUGGACCGGAACUGACGCUGAGGCGCGAAAGCGUGGGGAGCAAACAGG
rnacentral:rRNA from 1 species